CAGGAAGUCAAGGAGCUGCAGUUGACUUGGUACAAAACAGCCCUUGAGCUGAACGCUUUAAUCUGAGGCCAGUGUGGAAAGGCUGAUCCUUGCUUUGUGGAAGAUGGUUGGAAAGGUUUGGAAGCUGGAUUAAGUAGAAGCUUCCGGCCAUCUGUGUGAUCUCAGUUUAGGAACCCUUACAGCUAUCUCAACAAAGACCUCUCUACAGUUCUAAACAUCUAGCCUUGUUUUGGACAGAUGCUGAAUUUUCCAGAAGACGAGUAUGAUCUAUGCAGUCAAGUCGAACAGAAAUUAAUCAAGAGAGGGGAAUGGCAGGAUGAGAGGGUGAGACUCCCCAUUGGACUUGAGGUUGAAAGUACCAUCUUACAUCACAGAAGCUGUGUAGCCCUGCCUGGGAGCCAAACAAGUGUUUGUUGCUAGAAGUUAGACUUCAUGUUCACUCGGGAGCUGAGACCACCUCAAAGACCAUUCUUCUGCGUGGUGAGAAGCUGUUGCCAAGGGUGGAAGAACACUGCAUGAACUCUCCAGUCCUUAUGGAGGUGCUGCUUCCAAACCUUCUAGCAAUCUGCCUUUGAGGUCAGCAGCCUGCCGAGGACAUCUGCCAGGAAGCCCCUGGAACCUCAUCAUCCUUCCAAGACUCUGUUUUUCACACAGAUCCGUGGAUUUCCCUGAUGUGGUGAAAGCCAGGGAUUGAGGGCAAGGAGAAUGAGGCUGAGGUUCUGAAGCUGGCCGAGCAUCUGAAUGCGAUUGGGUGGGUCUGGAAUCCUUUCUCUGAAUUCUUUUCCACGGUUUCCAAACUCCUUUGGACUGACACCUCAUUGAACUUGUCCCUGCUCCCCACCCAGAUCCCUACGACACCUGAACACGUGUUUUGCAGCCCAUUAAUUCAGUCACCUCAUGUCCAUAUUCUGUGGGUUCUUACACACUCCAAAGCCCGGGAGUACGCAUGUAUGCUGGCCUAUGUUGUAAAUAAGUGUCCUGGUCAUCCCACAUCUACCAACCAACCUCAGCGUAAGUCCCUGAACUCAUGAUCAGGAGUUUUUCUUUCAUGAACUUUUCCCUUCCCUCAUGAGGCUUUAGAUUUCUGUGUCACUUCAACCAGACCAUGCUCUCCCCAAGGACAGAAGCUCUAUGACCCAGGCCAUUGCCAUACUCUUCUCGAGGCAUGCUCAGAACCUGCUACCCUUGAAUGGUGUAAUGGAUAAUGAGCUAUCACCACUGCUCGUUUAAAACCCCUUCUCAUUUUUACAAGCAUCCAUUACGCACACCAAAGACAUUUGGGUGUUGGACUGUCACGGCAACAUACAUGUGAGUUAACUGCAUCUUAAUUUAGACGCAUCCAAAACCAGCCAGGUGCUACGGACAUAAUAAA